CAUUUUUAUACGACCGCAAAAAUUAAAAAUUUUUUGGUCGUAUAUUGGUAUGACGUUGGCGUCGUCGUCGUCGUCGUCGUCGUCGUCGUCGUCGUCGUCGUCGUCGUCGUCGUCCGGCGUCGUCCGGCGUCGUCCGAAGACACAUUGGUUUUCGCACUCUAACUUUAGUUUAAGUGAAUGGAUCUCCAUGAAAUUCCACCAUAAGGUUCAAUACCACAAAAGGAAGGUUGGGAUUGAUUUUGGGGGUUAUGGUACCAACAGUUAAGGAAUUAGGGGCCAAAAAGGGGCCAAAAAUAAGCAUUUUUGUAACUUUCAGACAAUAACUUGUGUGUAAGUGUAUGGAUCUCUCUGACAUUGUACCACAAGGUUCCAUAUCACAAAGGGAAGGCUGUAAUUGAUUUUGGGGGUAAUUGCCUCAAAAUUUUAGGAAUUAGGGGCCCAAAAAGGGGCAAAAAACAAGCAUUUUUCUAGUUUCAUGACAAUAACUUGUGUGUAAGUGUUUGGAUAUUUCUGAAAUUGUACUACAAGGUUCCAUAUCACAAAGGGAAAGCUGGAAUUGAGUUUGGGGGUAAUUGCCCGAAACGUUUAGGAAUUGGGGGCCAAAAAGGGGCCAAAAAUAAGCAUUUUUCUAGUUUCCAGACAAUAACUUGUGUUCAAGUGUAUGGAUCUCUCUGAAAUUGUACUGCAAGGUACCAUACCACAAAGGGAAGGCUGGGAUUGAGUUUGGGGGUGAUGAAUCAUAAGGGGGUUCAAAAAAUUUGGGGGGGGGAUUUUUUUUUUUUUUUUUUUUCUUUUUUUCCUUUUUUUUUUCUUUUAAAAUUUUCCAUUUUAAGUUGGUUAUUUCUGAUUUAUAUUUAAAAGCAAAUAAUAAUGAUAUGGUAGGAGAUACACACCAAACAGGAUGUGUAAAUUAUUAUAUAAUAAGUAUUGUGCAAUGGCAAGAAAUUUUCAAUUGCACAGUAUUGCACAAUAGCAAGAAAUCUUCAAUUUAACAGUAUUGCGCAAUAGCAAGAAAUAUCCAAUAGCACAAUAUUGCGCAAUAGCAAGAAAUUGUCAAUUGUACAGUAUUGCGCAAUAGCAAGAAAUAUUCAAUUGCACAGUAUUGUGCAAAAGAAGAUACUUCGUAUAAAUUGCUUAUUUCUUGAUCAAUUUCAAUGGGGUUUUAUUCUUGAAUUCUUGGGGUUCUUUAAUAUGCUGAAUCUAACAGUGUAUUAAGUUUUUGGAUUUUGGGCCCCGUUUUUGAAUUGGUCCACAUUGAGGUCCAAAGGGUCCAAAAUUAAACUUUGUUUGAUUUCAUCAAAAAUUGAAUUAUUGGGGUUCUCUGAUAUGCCGAAUCUAACCAUGUAUUUAGAUUUUUAAUUUUGGGUCCCGUUUUUUAAAUUUGUCUACAUUAAGGUCCAAAGGGUCCAAAAUUAAACUUAGUUUGAUUUUAACAAAAAUUGAAUUCUUAGGGUUCUUUGAUAUGCUGAAUCUAACCAUGUAUUUAGAUUUUUGAUUUAUAUGGGCCCAGUUUUCAAGUUGGUCCAAGUUGGGGUCCAAAAUUAAACUUUGUUUGAUUUCAACAAAAAUUGAAUAUAUGGGGUUCUUUGAUAUGCUGAAUCUAAACAUGUAUUUAGAUUUUAGAUUUUUGGCCCAGUUUUCAAGAUGGUCCAAAUUGGGGUCCAAAAUUAAACUUUGUUUGAUUUCAACAAAAAUUGAAUAUAUGGGGUUCUUUGAUAUGCUGAAUCUUACCAUGUAUUUAGAUUUUUUAUUUGUGGGCCCGCUAUCAAAUUGGUUCAUAUUGAGGUCAAAAGGGUCCAAAAUUAAACUUUGUUUGAUUUCAUCAAAAAUUGAAUUAUUGGGGUUCUUUGAUAUGCCAAAUCUAACUGUGUUUUUAGAUUUUUAAUUUAGGGUCCCGUUUUUUAAAUUUGUCUACAUUAAGGUCCAAAGGGUCCAAAAUUAAACUUAGUUUGAUUUUAACAAAAAUUGAAUUCUUCGGGUACUUUGAUAUGCUGAAUCUAAACAUGUGUUUAGAUUUUUGAUUAUGGGACCAGUUUUCAAGUUUGUCCAAGUUGGGGUCCAAAAUUAAACUUUGUUUGAUUUCAACAAAAAUUGAAUAUAUGGGGUUCUUUGAUAUGCUGAAUCUAACCAUGUAUUUUGAUUUUGGACAGUGGACCAUAAUAGGUAAAUUAAAAAGAAUCAAGUUCUUAGACCACAUUCUUUCUGUGUCAGAAACCUAUGCUGUGUCAAAUAUUUAAUAACAAUCCAAAUUCAGAGCUGUAUCAAGCUUGAAUGUUGUGUCCAUACUUGCCCCAACUGUUCAGGGUUCGACCUCUGCGGUCGUAUCAAGCUGCGCCCCAGCGAAGCAUUUUAUUGAUUAUGGCCCCAGUUUUCAAGUUGGUCCAAGUUGGGGUCCAAAAUUAAACUUUGUUUGAUUUCAACAAAAAUUGAAUAUAUGGGGUUCUUUGAUAUGCUGAAUCUAAACAUGUAUUUAGAUUUUAGAUUUUUGGCCCAGUUUUAAAGUUUGUACAAAUUGGGGUCCAAAAUUAAACUUCGUUUGAUUUCAACAAAAAUUGAAUAUAUGGGGUUCUUUGAUAUGCUGAAUCUUACCAUGUAUUUAGAUUUUUUAUUUGUGGGCCCGCUAUCAAAUUGGUUCAUAUUGAGGUCAAAAGGGUCCAAAAUUAAACUUUGUUUGAUUUCAUCAAAAAUUGAAUUAUUGGGGUUCUUUGAUAUGCCAAAUCUAACCGUGUAUAUAGAUUUUUAAUUUUGGGUCCCGUUUUUUAAAUUGGUCUACAUUAAGGUCCAAAGGGUCCAAAAUUAAACUUAGUUUGAUUUUAACAAAAAUUGAAUUUUUGGGGUUCUUUGAUAUGCUGAAUCUAAACAUGUGUUUAGAUUUUUGAUUAUGGGACCAGUUUUCAAGUUGGUCCAAGUUGGGGUCC